AUGGAGCGGGUGAGCGAGGCCGCCGCCUGCGGCCCCUCGUCGGGCUGCUACACCUACCAGGUGAGUCGGCACAGCGCCGACGUGCUGCACAGCCUCAACCAGCAGCGCAAAAACGGCGGCCGCUUCUGCGACGUGCUCCUACGCGUGGGCGACGAGAGCUUCCCGGCGCAUCGCGCCGUGCUGGCCGCUUGCAGCGAGUACUUCGAGUCGGUGUUCAGCGCGCAGCUCGGCGACGGGGCAGGUGGCGGCGGCGCGGAGGGGAGCGCGGCGGAGGCGGCGGCCGGCGGGGCUGCGGCGGCGACCAGCGGCGCCCCCGGGGGCGGGCGGGAGCUGGAGAUGCACACCAUCAGCUCCAAGGUGUUCGGAGACAUCCUGGACUUCGCCUACACGUCGCGCAUCGUGGUGCGGCUGGAGAGCUUCCCGGAGCUCAUGACGGCCGCCAAGUUCCUGCUGAUGCGCUCUGUGAUCGACAUCUGCCAGGAGGUCAUCAAGCAGUCCAACGUGCAGCUCCUCGUGCCCCCCACACGCCCUGACAUCAUGCUGUUCCGUCCGGGUGCUGCUGACCUCGGCUUCCCUCUUGACAUGACCAACGGUGCCACUUUGGCACCCAAUGGCAAUGGCAUCGCUGGCAUGCCUGAAGAUGAGGCCACACGGGCUGCGCUCACCGCUGCGCAGUCCUCCCUCCCUGUCCUGCAGGGUGUGGACCGUCUGCCCAUGGUGGCAGGACCUCUGUCCCCACCACUGCUGGCCUCACCCUUCCAGAAUGUUGCUGCUAGUGCCCCCACUUUAAGCACCAAGAGGGGCAGAGGGCGUCCCCGUAAAGCAAAUCUCUUGGACUCCAUGAUGUUUGGUAGCCCAGGGGGCCUGCGAGAGGCUGGUAUCCUGCCUUGUGGUCUCUGUGGGAAGGUGUUCACGGAUGCUAAUCGUCUUCGGCAGCAUGAGGCUCAACAUGGGGUGACAAGCUUACAGCUGGGCUACAUAGACAUCCCACCCCCACGACUGGGUGAAAAUGGUGUUCCUGGUCAGGAUGACCCCGACGCACCUCGAAAAAGAAGCAGGACGAGGAAACAGGUGGCCUGUGAGAUCUGUGGCAAGAUUUUUCGGGACGUGUACCACCUGAAUCGGCACAAGCUGUCACACUCUGGCGAAAAGCCUUACUCUUGUCCGGUGUGUGGCUUGCGGUUCAAGCGAAAAGACAGGAUGUCCUAUCAUGUUCGAUCGCAUGAUGGCUCUGUGGGAAAGCCCUACAUCUGCCAGAGCUGUGGAAAAGGCUUUUCCAGGCCAGACCACUUGAAUGGACACAUCAAACAGGUGCAUACCUCAGAGAGACCUCACAAGUGUCAGCAGGAAAAUGGCAGCCACCAUGGAAUAAGCUCAGAGACAUCCACAUCCAUAGAAAAGUUGAAACUUCAAGAGACUUGUAAUGCUUCCUUUGCCACUCGUGACCGGCUGCGCUCACACCUGGCAUGCCAUGAAGACAAAGUCCCGUGCCAGGUGUGUGGGAAGUACUUGAGAGCAGCAUACAUGGCAGAUCACCUGAAGAAGCAUAGUGAAGGACCAAGCAAUUUCUGCACUAUCUGUAACCGAGGUUUCUCCUCUGCCUCCUACUUAAAGGUCCAUGUUAAAACCCACCACGGUGUUCCCCUUCCCCAGGUCUCCAGACACCAGGAGUCCAUCCCGAAUGGGGGAGCAGCGUUCCACUGCGUCAGGACCUAUGGCAUCAAAGAAGGCCAGAAAUGUUCACAUUCGGACCCGAUUGAGAGUUCUGACUCAUAUGGAGACCUCUCUGACACCAGUGACCUCAAGACUCCUGAGAAACAGAGCACCAAUGGGUCCUUCUCGUGUGACCUGGCAGUCAGCAAAAACAAAAUGGAGAUGGAAGGAGAGAAGAAGUACCCGUGCCCUGAAUGCGGCAGCUUUUUCAGAUCCAAGUCUUAUCUGAACAAACACAUACAGAAAGUGCACGUCAGGGCCCUUGGUGGCCCACUGGGGGACCUGGGUCCUGCUCUAGGAUCCCCCUUCUCACCCCAACAGAACAUGUCUCUUCUGGAGUCGUUUGGGUUUCAGAUCGUCCAGUCAGCAUUUGCAUCAUCCCUAGUGGAUCCAGAGGUCGACCAGCAACCAAUGGGGCCAGAGGGGAAAUGAGAUCAGUUGGAUCUUAACAAAGCAAAGCAGCAGUCUGGCUCUAAUGAUAAGAUGCUGUGAAUGAAAGAGGAAAUAAUGAAAUUUGGUUCUAUAGCUGAGAAUUUUUUAUUCAUUUUAGCUUCCUUCUUUGUCUCAUACCCUACCCCACCUUUAAACCUUCACUGGGGAGAGGGAGAAAAUGCUUCUUUAGCUGAUAAAUUACAGAAGAUGGUGGCCUUGAAUAGGAGAUAUGACCCAAAACAAAUGGAGCUUUAGAGGCUGCUGGUGGUGUUUUCCAUAUGUUCUUUGAGAGUAAUUAAGAGUUACCAGCAUGGUCUGAGAAUGAGACAGUCCUAGUGACCGAGGCACCUGGGGAGCUGCAGCUACAGGGAGCUGUGAUUUUGUUCUCCCUCUAUUCCCCUGCCCUCCCUAAACUCCCCCAGAAAAACAGUAAGUUUAAAAAACAGACCCAUCAUUGAAUAUAAAGUAAAAUGCCCCAUGGUUCCUAGCAGGUUACAAUGCAGUUGUCCUUUUAAAACCAGAAACAUUUAAAGAAGGUGAGAGAAUUUGAUCCCCUUCUGCCUUUGUGAGGCUGUGAGUGCUGCAGCAGGACUGAACUGCUGAGAAAAAUCACCUUUCAGAACAGGUUGUUUUUAUUACUUUUGACCAUUAAACUUGCUGUCAGGUUUUUAAUUCUUUAUUAUUAUUAUUAUUAUUUUAGGACCUGUUGUAGUGAAUUGCUACUGAAAAGCCAGUCUAAGGCGGUACACAGAGCACUCGUAAAGCAGCAGUCACAUUAGGCACCAGCACUUUCUAAAUUGAGAGCAUGUUGCAGUGGACUUGAUGUUUUGCUAUUAAUCUGUGUUGGGAGACUGAAGGACAUGUUCUUCUCCAGUCAUCUCCUCCUCCCAGAAUCCUGGAAUAGGUAUGAGCCUCAUUUAAAAGGAAAAAUCAGUGAAACAAACAAACCCCAGCACUAAAGCUUCACGGAAUUGCUCUUGUACUGGUAAGAUUAGUAGACAGGUAAAAACAGAAUAUCUUAGAAAAGUGACAAAACAUUUUAAGAUACCUUACAAAACUAGUGCUGAGACAACCAAGCAAAUCAGGAGAGAGCAGGCUUUCCAGUCAGCACAACAGUCUGUUGGGAUUAGCAAAUGCAGCUGCAGUCACUGGUUUACUAAUAGCUCAUAAUUAAUCCACAAGGGAAAUUUCUGUUGAACUGAGGCUGUGUGCUGAAAGACAGAAGGUUUUGUCCCCAGUGUUCCUAUGUGCACUCAAAGAAGGUGCAUUAAUCAUAAAAUUCAACUCCAAAAGCUAAGUCCAGAGUAUAGAAUACUUUCAUCCUACUUUUAUCUCCCCUGACUUUAGUGUUACAAGUGGGUUGAAUUUUGGCUGUAUCUAUGAGAAUUUAAUUUUGAAUGCUACAGAAUUUGACCUGGUGAAACAAAAGCCUUAUCUGAAAACGAAGCCUUCGAAAACACUGUGUAUUCUGCUUGUCAAAGAAAAUGCUUACUAAGUUAUCAUGAAUACAUUGAAUGAAAACUACUUACUUCUCAGUCUAGUGGACAGGGAAACAAUUAGGCAGGAGGUUAACAAUCCUGAAAUGACAGUUCUAGAUCAUCCUAGUGUAAAUGGGAGAGAUUUGUACCAACACAGGAGGCUGGUGCAGGCUAGUGCCAGUAGGAAGUUGGGCAGAUCUUUAGCUAUGGUGUGUUUUCAGUGCUUUUUGCUUCUUUGGGGCAUGCUGUUCCAUUCUGGACAGUGCUUUAAUCUACAUACAAAUUAUUUCUAUUCUGUACUUUGGGAAAUGCCUGUUUCUUAUAGAAAUGAGACAGAUCCAAACAGAAAACUCAGCCUCACAAGUUCAGAGUUCAGAGGGAAGUAUGUAACAUGCCUUGAGCUGCAGCUUGUUGCCAUUGCAUUUUAUUUUUAAUUGGUGUGUAGAUGAUAGUUCUGAUUUGGGCCACCCUCCCUUCCUUGCCUUCCCCUUUGGAGGGACUGCAAGGCAAUGUUUGAGUUGGUGCACAUGUCAAGAAUGAAACUUCAGUUCAUGCAAAUUUAUAUCAUCAGACUUGUAGUAUUUGUUUGUAUUAUAGGAGUCCCAUAACCUCUCAUCUGAGGCUCAAGCCUUGUGUAGUAGGUAUGAUGAAAACAUCUUCAGUCAUUCAUAAUCUAAAUAUUAAAGACAGCCAAGAAAGGAAUAGAUGCUUAUUAGAGAAUGAGUGAGAGAUAAAAGACUAAAAACCACUUGCAUGCAUGCUUAAGUGUUGUCUUUAAAUGUGAGGGCACAAACUUCUCAGGCUUUUGUUGCCUGAAUUUAUAGAUGUUAAUCCAGAACAAAUGCAAGGUAAAGCAAUUUAAUGUGAAUUUAUUCCAUACUCAGUUAAAUUAGGUGAUGUGACCUUGCAUUUGUCAUGUCUUAAAUGUGUGCAGACAGUGUGGCUCACCUGACACAUGGCAAUGUGCAUGUGAGCUCUCAAUCCUAAGUGAUUUGCCCAUGAUGAUAUGGGAAAUUGAUAGCAGAACCAGAAAUUGAACACAGAUUUUUCCUUCUCUCAAUCCAGUGCCUUAAUUAUAGUAGGGCAAAGUAUUAUAUGUUGGGGGGAUGGGUUUUUUGGUUUUUAAAGCCUAGAACUAUUAAGAUGGUGUGGAGGUUGGUCUUCCUACCAAUCUUUUGAAUAAUUGUAAAUGCCCAGUCACAAUUUUAGACCUGUUUGAGUGCCAGUGACUUAGGGAAUAUUUGUUAUUUCCCAUGUAUUCCCUGAAAUUAUUGUUCCUCCCUCAGCUGCUGUCAGCAGUAAGGAAUGACUUGAAUAGAAGAGCUGUGUAACUGAAUGUCUAUAACUCAACUAAUUGAAUUGCUAGUAUGAAAGCUAACCUAGAUUUUGUAGGCUCUGUUGUAACUUUAGUGUCUUGUUUUUUCACUAAAUCUUUGUUCCUAGAAUUCAGUAUCUAAACUUAUGUCUUGAGUCGGGAGUGGGGUACCACUUUCAGCUUUAAUUUUUUUUAAGGUGCUUGCUUGAGGAAGUAGAUGCCAAAGUAAACUUCAAAGGAACUCCAGACUUCAGUGUUGGAAGAAUGAAUGGAGAGCAAGAACUCUCCUUGGGUUUCAUGAGAGAUAAAUGGACAAAGUAAAAAACAGCCACCAAAAUUCUAAGUAAUGAAACAGGAAAGGUUUUCUUUACCACCCACAAAAAUAAUAAAAUAUUUUCAGUUGUCACCAUGGCAUAAAGUCUGAGAGCAAGUGCCAAACAACACAAUGUGCUGGCUUUUUCAGCAUUAUUGUUAUACCUUAACAGCAUUGUCAAUACUCAAAUGUAAAUUAAGCCAGCUUAGUACUACUCCCCUUUUUCUUGGGCACAAUACCUGAGUUUUAUUUAAACAGAGCAGAAGCUCACAGUGAAUUUCUGAGCUUAGGCUCUCAAUUCUACCCUGAGAGACAAAACAAAUGAGCAAAGAGGGGGGAAAAAAUAAACCCACUAGGAAAACUUAAAAAGGAAAACAAAUUCUGGAGGGCUCCAGUGUCUCUGGAAAGAGCCACGUUUUUUUAUCCUGAACAUCCUUUUCAAAACAAGAACUUUCAGCUGUUGUGAAUGAGCCCUUGGGAACAUAUUUGGCUUCCAGCCCAAUCUGCUGCAGCUCCCUGGCCCUGGGAGAAGGCAGCAUGUUCCAGAGGACUGAGCCUGGGAUCCAGAGGGAGGGGGCAGGCAGUGCUCCUGGGCUGCAGCCACAGGUACUCCUGCAGUCAGCACCAGCACUGGCAAAGUCUCGUGUGCCUGCUGCUUUCAUGCUCACCCUCCACACAUCCUGUGCAUCCUACUCGGAUGUGUGCAGCUCUGCAAAGGGCUGUUGGCUGUAAAACAAAGCAGGAGCUAUUUGGCUAAGAAGAAAAAAGAGAAGCACCAGUUGAAAAGAGUGCUGUGACAUAACUGCAGAGUGAUGCAGCCCAGGAGCAGGAGCCCUGGCUGUGAGGGGUUGUGGUGAUGGCUGGAAUGGUUGUGGCACGUCAGUGAAAACCACAGCUGUGCACUCUGUGGUGGCAGGCACUGAUGGCCUGUUUGCCAAGAAUGAACUCCCUGUGUCAUGUCUAGCCUCUUCCUGUGUUGUGUUCCUGUCUGUGAGAUGAGAUGAUGAUAACCUUUGGGUAAGAACGUGCCAAUAUUUAAUUGAUGUGCCAUAUUGUGCUGCACAAUUGUGUUGCUGAACUCUGUCACAAAUGUUUGGCCUCACUGACUUCAGAUGUAAUGCAAAGUUAAACAAACAUUUGGCCACAUUUUUCCUGAAAGGUGUGAUAUUUAAAUUUAUUUAAAGACUGCCUGGCACUAUUGAUCUGCUCUCAGGGUUUAUGUGAAUGAAGCUUUUCCUGGGUGGCCUCCAUACUUGUACUGCAAUUUUGGAGACCUGGAAGUGCUCUGAGCCGAGAUAUGCUGAAGGAGGGAGAUAACUGGAGUCUCACUGAUGUUCCAGUGACUCCCUCCCAGCUCCUGAGUUCCCUGUGGACCAUGGAGUCACUUCAUGCAGCCACUGGCAGCCAUAAAUGCUCUUGAGCAUCCUGCAGUCACAUAGUGACCUUGGGUAAGUGAUUUUAUAAUAAAUCAGUCUCAUGCUUGCUAAUACCUUUUUGGCUGCUGUGUCUACAAACUGGUGCCUUCUCCAGGCAAAUUUUACAUGCCCUCUGCAAAGUUGUCAGACUGACUGCUGGCUCUUAAGGAAUCAACCAAGCCUUGCUCUUGGGCUCAGAAUUUUUCUUUGGUACUGUUGUAAUCUGAAAGUUUGCUGCAAUUAGUGCAAAUACCAGAGUAAGAGAGAAAAUAAAAGGCUGUUCUUAGAUGUCUUGUAGAGUGAACAACUGAAACACGAGUGUGGGAUGAGCCAGGAAAACUGGUAUUUUUCCCUGGCUGCACGCCAUAUGGAAGAGACAGUGCCUUGGAAGGGAAAGAGCAGAAAAGUUUGCCAUUGGCUCUGAUGAAUCCCAAUCCUGCUUCUACUGAAGUUGCUGGGAAUCCUCCCAUUGUCUUCAGUGGAGCAAGAAAGGAUCUUAGGUGAGGAUGGAUGGCUCUUUCCCUACUUGAAUGAAGUCUCUUGCCUAUUUAUGGGCCUGCUUCUAUUGAAACCGAGCCUGUUUUAGCCUUUUUGGGUUCUUAGGGACCUGUUUGUAUAAAGCAACUUACCUACCUAUCUUUUUUUUUUUUCUAUUGUGUGUAUUUUUUGUAUGUUCUGUUGGAAGGUGAAGCCUCUGUAGAAGGGGAUAAAAAACCUGAUUUUUAAAUAGUAAUAAACCAAAAGAGAAUUAAA